rnacentral:rRNA from 1 species
AACGUAGGGGGCAAACGUUAUCCGGAAUUACUGGGCGUAAAGGGCGUGCAGGUGGCUUGGUAAGUUCGGCGUGAAAUUUCCCGGCUUAACCGGGGGAUGUCGUCGGAGACUGUCGAGCUAGAGGGUGAUAGAGGCGUGUGGAAUUCCGGGUGUAGUGGUGAAAUGCGUAGAGAUCCGGAGGAACACCAGUGGCGAAGGCGACACGCUGGGUCAUUCCUGACACUAAAACGCGACAGCAUGGGGAGCGAACGGG